UACGUAGGGUGCAAGCAUUAAUCGGAAUUACUGGGCGUAAAGCGUGCGCAGGCGGUUGUGCAAGACCGAUGUGAAAUCCCCGGGCUUAACCUGGGAAUGGCAUUGGUGACUGCACGGCUAGAGUGUGUCAGAGGGGGGUAGAAUCCACGUGUAGCAGUGAAAUGCGUAGAGAUGUGGAGGAAUACCGAUGGCGAAGGCAGCCCCCUGGGAUAACACUGACGCUCAUGCACGAAAGCGUGGGGAGCAAACAGG
rnacentral:rRNA from 1 species